GCGAGGAGGACCCGGAUGCAGUACCGGGCACUCCACCAUCAACUGAGUGGGAGUCU
rnacentral:sRNA from 14 species